GACGAACGCUGGCGGCGUGCUUAACACAUGCAAGUCGAACGGAAAGGCCCUGCUUGCAGGGUACUCGAGUGGCGAACGGGUGAGUAACACGUGGGUGAUCUGCCCUGCACUUCGGGAUAAGCCUGGGAAAUUGGGUCUAAUACCGGAUAGGAGCCAUUUUUAGUGUGAUGGUUGGAAAGUUUUUUCGGUGUAGGAUGAGCUCGCGGCCUAUCAGCUUGUUGGUGGGGUAAUGGCCUACCAAGGCGGCGACGGGUAGCCGGCCUGAGAGGGUGGACGGCCACAUUGGGACUGAGAUACGGCCCAGACUCCUACGGGAGGCAGCAGGGGGGAAUAUUGCACAAUGGGCGCAAGCCUGAUGCAGCGACGCCGCGUGGGGGAUGACGGCCUUCGGGUUGUAAACUCCUUUCGCUAGGGACGAAGCUUUUUGUGACGGUACCUAGAUAAGAAGCACCGGCUAACUACGUG
rnacentral:rRNA from 1 species